UCCGCCGGUAAUAACAAAUACCGGCGGAUAUACCAUGUAUUACCGGCGGGCUCCUCCGCCGGUAAUAGUGAUUUUUGUUGUUGUGUUAGUUCUUGAGUUUUAAAUUAAUUUAUCAAUUUUUAAGUAAUUUUUAAUUUAUUAGUUUUAUUUUGAUUUUAUUUAUUUUUAUUUAUUUUGUUUAAUUAUGUUGUUACUAAUUUAUGUGUGUUUAAUUUCUCUAUGUAGGUGUAUUUGUUGGGGGAAAUGAAAUGUUGAUAAAAUGUUGGUAUAAAGAAAUGAAGAAAGCAAGCCCAAAAUGAAAGGCCCAAUCCAAUUCUUGAUAAUACCAUGUCAUCAAUCCAUGUACUUCUUUCUCCACCAUUGGAUUUGUAACUAUAGGAAAAGAUGACAAUUUUGAGCAUGAAUCCAUGUGUUUUUUUUUAGACCAAUAGGAGUGUUAUCCUUUACCAAAGAAUUUAUCUAUAAAUAGGAGUCUCAUUUCACCAUUUAAAGCAUACCUUCUCUUACACCACUUCUUCCAUCUCUCUAUUCUCUCCAUCUUUUUCUUUUCUUAGAUUAGUUUUUAUGUAUUUUUAGAGGAAUAAUUUGGAGGUUCCUCCUCCAAAUUUUCCUAUUUAUGUUGUAAUUUUUAUUUUGUUUUUGAUAGUUAUGGGUUUCUAAUCCACUUAAAAUUAUUAAGGUGGAGGAUGAACCAAAAUAUAACUAUAUAGUGUUUAUUUUAUGUUGACCUCCCAAAAUGAGCAAUAAAGUUUAUGAUUUUUCUUCUUCUAAAUAUUUCUUUCAUCUAUAAUAUCAUGUAUUUUAGAUUGUUAGAACAUAUUUUACUUGGUUCUUAACUAUGCAAAAAUAUAGUAUUCUUUGAUUAAGAUGUGUCAUUAAAUUGUUCACAUCCAAUGCUUAGAACAAAAAUACUAUAUUUUGCUUUAGAAAUAACAUUAUUUGAUUUUUUUUUUAGUUUCAUUAAAUUGAUUCACAACUAAUGCUUUGAAGUUAUACUAUUGAAGUGAAGGAAAAUUUAUAUUUUUUGAAUUAAAGAGAGCUUAAAGGAAGAAUAAUGUUUUGGAAAAGGUAAUUAGAUUAAUUUCAAUUAUCACUAAAAAUUGGGAAGUCAACAUAUUAAUAAAUAUUAUUAUUUAUAUUUUGUGGAUUCUAAAAUCUUAAUAAUUUUAUAAAUAACUAUUAAAAACAAAUCUUUUUAGUUUAUUUAUUUUAAUUUUUUUUUAGUAUUUUCUUUCUUUAUUUUAAAACAAAACACAUUAAUCCUUGGAACUAGGUUAGAAAUUUAUUUCACUUUGGUAAAAAUAGUUUUCUCUUUUGAUUUAAGUCAAUUCCUUUGGGUUCGACCUCGUGCUUACACGAACACUAUUCUAUAAAUAUGAUUCGUGCGCUUGCGAGUAUAAAUUUUUAAAACAUACCCGUUUUGGGUCCAUCAAGUUUUUGGCGCCGUUGCCGGGGAGUUGCAAAGAAGAGAAACAAUUUGUGUCAAGGUGUAUUUGUUGGGGCAAAUGAAAUGUUGAUAAAAUGUUGGUAUAAAGAAAUGAAGAAAGCAAGCCCAAAAUGAAAGGCCCAAUCCAAUUCUUGACAAUGCCAUGUCAUCAAUCCAUGUGCUUCUUUCUCCACCAUUGGAUUUGUAACUAUAGGAAAAGAUGACAAUUUUGAGCAUGAAUCCAUGUGCUUUUUUUAGACCAAUAGGAGUGUUAUCCUUUACCAAAGAAUUUAUCUAUAAAUAGGAGUCUCAUUUCACCAUUUAAAGCACACCUUCUCUUACACCACUUCUUCCAUCUCUCUAUUCUCUCCAUCUUUUUCUUUUCUUAGAUUAGUUUUUAUGUAUUUUUAGAUGAAUAAUUUGGAGGUUCCUCCUCCAAAUUUUCCUAUUUAUGUUGUAAUUUUUAUUUUGUUUUUGAUAGUUAUGGGUUUCUAAUCCACUUAAAAUUAUUAAGGUGGAGGAUGAACCAAAAUAUAACUAUAUAGUGUUUAUUUUAUGUUGACCUCCCAAAAUGAGCAAUAAAGUUUAUGAUUUUUCUUCUUAUAAA